rnacentral:rRNA from 1 species
GACGAACGCUGGCGGCGUGCUUAACACAUGCCAGUCGAACGGACAGGCCCUGCUCUUGCGGGGUGCUCGAGUGGCGAACGGGUGAGUAACACGUGAGUAACCUGCACUUAACUGUGGGAUAACUCCAGGAAACUGGGGCUAAUACCGGAUAUGAGCUCCUGCUGCACGGUGGGGGUUGGAAAGUUUCGGCGGUUGGGGAUGGACUCGCGGCUUAUCCGCUUGUUGGUGGGGUAGUGGCUGACCAAGGCUUUGAAGGGUAGCCGGCCUGGGAGGGUGACCGGCGACAUUGGGACUGAGAGACGGCCCAGACUCCUACGGGACGCAGCAGGGGGGAAUAUUGCGGAAUGGGCGGAAGCCUGAUGCAACAACGCCGCGAGCGGGAUGACGGCCUACGGGUUGUAAACCGCUUUCGCCGGUGACGAAGCGUGAGUGACGGUAAUGGGUAAGGAAGCACCGGCUAACUACGUG